UACAGAGGUCUCAAGCGUUGUUCGGAUUCAUUGGGCGUAAAGGGUGCGCAGGCGGCCGGGUGUGUCAGAUGUGAAAUCCCGAGGCUUAACCUCGGAACUGCGUCUGAAACUACUCGGCUAGAGUACUGGAGAGGGUAACGGAAUUCACGGUGUAGCAGUGAAAUGCGUAGAUAUCGUGAGGAACCCCAGAGGCGAAGGCGGUUACCUGGACAGGUACUGGAGCUCAGGCACGAAAGCAUGGGGAGCAAAAGGG
rnacentral:rRNA from 1 species